UUUGUCAGAGCGACGAAUGUCAAAGGGGAGGCGAAAACUCGUGAUUAAUUGUGGAAUGGCUCUCAAAACAUCGGCUGGGGUAUAAAAAAAACCGGAGAAUGUAAACUUUUCCAUUCAACAUGAGCGGGGAAUCUAACGUUCACUCUUCGACUUCAAAUAACAAUGGAAUACUACCUUGCACGACUCAGGAUUCAAACAUCCAUAAUAUCAAAUUCUCCUCGUAAACCUAUGGCAUGAUCCAAUGGUGGAACUGUGGGCCUGUGCUUGUGGCUAUUGUGAUGUUCUUGCUUGUCGGAACCAUCUUCGAGAGGCGGCUCGAGAGGAUCGUGCAGCGGAUUAUCUACCGACAAGCCCCAGACACGUUGUCUGAUACCACCCCAUCAGACAUAUCAAGCCCAGAUCCGCUAGCCCCAUCUGACUCGCCUGCCCCACCUGCCUCAACUGCCCCAACUGCCCCGCAAGGGGACAACCCCUGCUCCUGCGACAACUGCUUGCCGAGAACGGACCUCGUGCUCACACCAACGACAACACAACAAUGAUAAAAAACACAAAGUAACCCAAACACUAAAAUAAAUGCCCAAAAAAUUUAAACUUUA